GGAUCCAGACUUUGAUUCUGGCUCAGAUUGAACGCUGGCGGCAGGCCUAACACAUGCAAGUCGAGCGGAAACGAGUUAACUGAACCUUCGGGGAACGUUAACGGCGUCGAGCGGCGGACGGGUGAGUAAUGCCUGGGAAAUUGCCCUGAUGUGGGGGAUAACCAUUGGAAACGAUGGCUAAUACCGCAUAAUAGCUUCGGCUCAAAGAGGGGGACCUUCGGGCCUCUCGCGUCAGGAUAUGCCCAGGUGGGAUUAGCUAGUUGGUGAGGUAAUGGCUCACCAAGGCGACGAUCCCUAGCUGGUCUGAGAGGAUGAUCAGCCACACUGGAACUGAGACACGGUCCAGACUCCUACGGGAGGCAGCAGUGGGGAAUAUUGCACAAUGGGCGCAAGCCUGAUGCAGCCAUGCCGCGUGUAUGAAGAAGGCCUUCGGGUUGUAAAGUACUUUCAGCAGUGAGGAAGGUGUUGUCGUUAAUAGCGGCAUCAUUUGACGUUAGCUGCAGAAGAAGCACCGGCUAACUCCGUGCCAGCAGCCGCGG
rnacentral:rRNA from 1 species